ACAAAACAAAAAAAGCAAGGCUACUCGGAAAAAAGAAAACACGCCAACGCACGAGAAAAGGACGACAAAAUAAACAAACAAAUACUGAAAACGACACAAAAAAUAAUAAAAAAAUGUAAAAAAAGACGAAAAAGGGACGGCGGCCGAUGCGACAAGAGACCAAAAAAAAAGUCAAGGGCGGGAGGGAUAAAGAAAGAGAGAGUACCCCCACAGGAAGCCAAUUUGCAGCACCGAGACGGCGCCAAAGAGGCACAUCAUGGUCGCCCGCCUGCCACAACCGGCAUCGGUCGUCGGGUUGUUGCGCCGACGCAAGGCAAGAAAAAAAACACAACACAUCCACGGUGGACACACACACAAGGGAGCGAGUCAGCAGAGGCACGAGCCCAAAAGCAGGGGGCCGACGGCGCGGGAGCGUAAAAAAGCCGACAGGAGAGGCAAGGACUCUUUUUUUUUCCUUUCUUUCUCAUAAACGCGGGGACGAGGCGUGGAUGGGGCGACGUACAUGCGCUCGACGGGCAUGGCAACGACGGCGGCAAAGAUCAUGAGCGGCGGACCGUGCAGGCACAGCAUGCCGCCCAAGAGGCCGCUGACCACGCCACACGCAACGGCCAGUACGACGACGCCAACGCUAAGAGACGCCUGCCGCUGGGUCGCCUUUGACGGCGGACUCAGGAGCGGGCGCAUGGCCUCACGUUCGUCGACACUGUCGCCACCAGUGUCGUCGUAAGGGUCGACCGCCACCUCGCAAAAGGGAUCGCUCGUUGUCGCCGGAUCGCUCGACGUGGUGAGGCCGUCGGGUGCCUUGCGGGCGGUCGCCGCCGCCGCCGCGUGGGGAUUCGUGCGUGCGGCCUCCCACAAGGCGAUCGCCAGCAUGGCAGCACCCAAAAGGGGCCGCAACACCGUGGGCGGCUGGUCGGCGAGGAGCAGCGUGCCGACAUAGGUAAAAGCGGCCGACGGCACAAAGAGCACGCCGACGAGAGGCCACCAUAUGUGUCGACGGUGCGCGAUGGCCAGCGGCCAAAAGGCCGGAAUGGCCAUGCACAUGAGAUAGGCCACGGCGGCGCCCGUGUCGAUGGUGGCGAGUCCGGCCGCUGCGACGCCGUGCGCGAUCGCGUGAAAGGUGACGGCCAUGCCAAAGGCCGUGACGGCAGAUACGGCGGCUGCGACGAUCGACGCCGCGGCAACGACGCCCACGCGCACCAAGUCGACAUCUGGCACAUCGUAGACGGUCGCCGCCGGAAACCAAACUGGUGAGGUGUCGCCGUAGGUGUCGCCGUAGCCGUCGCCCGAAUCGUUGCGGCCGGCGGCCAUUGUCGCAGCCGCCUGCAGGGCCGCGUCGACCAACAGGUCUGUCAUCCCUCUUUUUUUUUUGGCCGAGUUUGCCUCGUGCCGGUCGCGUAUUGUUGGUUUUUUCGGGGCCGUCGGUCGGUGCGAGUUUUUUCGGCCCAUAGGUCUUUUUUUUGCGCGGCGUGCUUGGAUCUGCGACCGUUGGCGUCGCCGCCGAUUCAGAUGGCAGCGUAUUUUUUUUGCUCUGGCGGUUCCAUGACGGCCAAUGCCGUUGCAGUGCAGACAAAGCCCAAAAUACAAACCCCAU
rnacentral:lncRNA from 1 species